rnacentral:rRNA from 1 species
AGUGGCGGACGGGUGAGUAACGCGUGAGAAUCUGCCUUGGGGUCGGGGACAACCACUGGAAACGGUGGCUAAUACCGGAUAAGCCGAUUGGUGAAAGAUUUAUUGCCCGAAGAGGAGCUCGCGUCUGAUUAGCUAGUUGGUGAGGUAAGAGCUCACCAAGGCAGCGAUCAGUAGCUGGUCUGAGAGGACGAUCAGCCACACUGGGACUGAGACACGGCCCAGACUCCUACGGGAGGCAGCAGUGGGGAAUUUUCCGCAAUGGGCGAAAGCCUGACGGAGCAAGACCGCGUGAGGGAGGAAGGCUCUUGGGUUGUAAACCUCUUUUCUCAGGGAAGAAGCUCUGACGGUACCUGAGGAAUCAGCCUCGGCUAACUCCGUGCCAGCAGCCGCGGUAAUACGGAGAAGGCAAGCGUUAUCCGGAAUUAUUGGGCGUAAAGCGUCCGCAGGUGGCGAUUCAAGUCUGCUGUCAAAGCACGGGGCUUAACUCCGUAAAGGCAGUGGAAACUGAAUAGCUAGAGUGCCGUAGGGGUAGAGGGAAUUCCCGGUGUAGCGGUGAAAUGCGUAGAGAUCGGGAAGAACAUCGGUGGCGAAAGCGCUCUACUGGACGGCAACUGACACUCAGGGACGAAAGCUAGGGGAGCGAAUGGGAUUAGAUACCCC